GUAAUAAUCCUGUAGUCGAAAAUGUUGUCUCUCUUGAGUGGAUCCUGAGUACGACGGAGCACGUGAAAUUCCGUCGGAAUCUGGGAGGACCAUCUCCUAAGGCUAAAUACUCUCUAGUGACCGAUAGUGAACCAGUACCGUGAGGGAAAGGUGAAAAGCACCCCGGAAGGGGAGUGAAAUAGAACCUGAAACCGUGUGCUUACAAGUAGUCAGAGCCCGUUAAUGGGUGAUGGCGUGCCUUUUGUAGAAUGAACCGGCGAGUUACGAUUUGAUGCAAGGUUAAGCAGUAAAUGUGGAGCCGUAGCGAAAGCGAGUCUGAAUAGGGCGUUUAGUAUUUGGUCGUAGACCCGAAACCAGGUGAUCUACCCUUGGUCAGGUUGAAGUUCAGGUAACACUGAAUGGAGGACCGAACCGACUUACGUUGAAAAGUGAGCGGAUGAACUGAGGGUAGCGGAGAAAUUCCAAUCGAACCUGGAGAUAGCUGGUUCUCUCCGAAAUAGCUUUAGGGCUAGCCUCAAGUGAUGAUUAUUGGAGGUAGAGCACUGUUUGGACGAGGGGCCCCUCUCGGGUUACCGAAUUCAGACAAACUCCGAAUGCCAAUUAAUUUAACUUGGGAGUCAGAACAUGGGUGAUAAGGUCCGUGUUCGAAAGGGAAACAGCCCAGACCACCAGCUAAGGUCCCAAAAUAUAUGUUAAGUGGAAAAGGAUGUGGCGUUGCCCAGACAACUAGGAUGUUGGCUUAGAAGCAGCCAUCAUUUAAAGAGUGCGUAAUAGCUCACUAGUCGAGUGACACUGCGCCGAAAAUGUACCGGGGCUAAACAUAUUACCGAAGCUGUGGAUUGUCCUUUGGACAAUGGUAGGAGA
rnacentral:rRNA from 1 species